UGGUCCUACGGGAGGCAGCAGUGGGGAAUAUUGCAAAAUGGGGGAAACCCUGAUGCAGCAACGCCGCGUGAGUGAAGAAGUAUUUCGGUACGUAAAGCUCUAUCAGCAGGGAAGAAUAAUGACGGUACCUGACUAAGAAGCCCCGGCUAACUACGUGCCAGCAGCCGCGGUAAUACGUAGGGGGCAAGCGUUAUCCGGAUUUACUGGGUGUAAAGGUAGCGUAGACGGCUGUGCAAGUCUGAAGUGAAAUGCCG
rnacentral:rRNA from 1 species